rnacentral:rRNA from 1 species
AUUGAACGCUGGCGGCAUGCUUUACACAUGCAAGUCGAACGGUAACAGGUUAAGCUGACGAGUGGCGAACGGGUGAGUAACGCAUCGGAACGUGCCCGAUCGUGGGGGAUAACGCAGCGAAAGCUGCGCUAAUACCGCAUAAGAUCCGAGGAUGAAAGCGGGGGACUUUAUAGCAAUAUGAGGCCUCGCGCGAUCGGAGCGGCCGAUGCCAGAUUAGGUAGUUGGCGGGGUAAAGGCCCACCAAGCCGACGAUCUGUAGCUGGUCUGAGAGGACGACCAGCCACACUGGGACUGAGACACGGCCCAGACUCCUACGGGAGGCAGCAGUGGGGAAUUUUGGACAAUGGGCGCAAGCCUGAUCCAGCAAUGCCGCGUGCAGGAAGAAGGCCUUCGGGUUGUAAACUGCUUUUGUACGGAGCGAAAAGGUCUUCUCUAAUAAAGAAGGCUGAUGACGGUACCGUAAGAAUAAGCACCGGCUAACUACGUGCCAGCCGCCGCCGUAACAC